UAUCUGCCGUGGGUGUAGGAAUAUUGACAGGAUCUGUCCCUAGUACGAGAGGACCGGGAUGGACGUAUCUCUGGUGGACCUGUUGUGGCGCCAGCCGCAUAGCAGGGUAGCUAUAUACGGACGGGAUAACCGCUGAAGGCAUCUAAGCGGGAAACCCACCUGAAAACGAGUAUUCCCUUGAGAGCCGUGGAAGACCACCACGUUGAUAGGCCGGGUGUGGAAGUGCGGCAACGCAUGAAGCUUACCGGUACUAAU
rnacentral:rRNA from 1 species